CUGCAGUCAAAAGGCUUUCAGAUGAUUGCAGCAGAGCAAGAGCACCUUUUUAAGACUGCUGGCAUAUGGGCAACAUGAAGAAAGCUUCACAUUGUGACACACCUAAAGGAAGAGGCAAGAGAUUCAAUGGCUGCUUUAUGGAUCUCACAGCUGGACUACUAAGCUACUGGACUGCAGUAAAGAAUAUUCAAUCUCCUAAGCAAGGCUGAUAAAGAAUGCAAAAAGGAAGCGCAUCUCAAUUCUCUGUCAUUGCUGGCUUCUUGAGCAUGAGCUGACACACACCAUGGACUUAGAAGAUACAAUGAUUGAAUUGUGCAGGGUGGAGGGAAAAGAUGUUGGAAUUCUAUAUUCCUACAGUGUCCCUAGCAGUGACUAAUAUAAGACAUUAGCAUUCACUAUGAAUUAGAACUCAUGGUUAAAUUUGUUAAAGUUGUUUUGUCUCUAAAACAUGUUUUAUAGGAUUUUUUUUAUAAAUAAUAACAGAAUAUGGCAUAAAACAAUGUCACAAGCCAGUGUCACUGUACAGCAUGAAGUAUAAUCGAUGCAUUGUGACAGAGAAGGCAAAAAGUAUGCCCAAGGGCAAAUUUCUCACAAAAUUGACUAACAGGAUAGCAAAAGCCAUGGAAAGAACUGGAAACACUGCUUACGAUAGAUAUUUUAUUUAUAUUCAAAUAUGCUGCCACUUUUGUACCCUCACUAAGCCUAACACACAAUAUUAGCAAAAACAUCUGUUCCUCCCAUUCUUCUGCUCAGGACUCUUUAUUGCUAUUUUCUUGUCCCACAUACAAUCAGUAAUUUUAAUUAUUUCCAUUAUCAUGUACUCAGUCAGCUAAGAGUUGAGUUUCAGUAGAUUAGACUGAAUCCAGUUUGCUUUCAUUAUUUUCUCUUUGUUUCACUUAUUGCAAAUUGUUCUCUGUGGUGGUUAUUAUUUUUCAUUAAGUUCUUUGGAUUCUAUGAAUCCUUUCUUGGAAUACCCAACAAUGCACAUUUUAAACUAAGUCUGUUUUCACUAGUUAUUCCAUGCCUUUAGUUUUCACUGAAAAAAACACAGCCCAAAUAACAACAUGGUCUAAUUCCUCUAUUCUAAAAACUAAUACUCAGUACCCAUUUUCCUUAAGCAUCACUGGGGAUGAUGGACUGGCAGAAGAGAUGCCUGCCUUCCUCAUGCAACUGUUUUACCAUAUUUCUUUCUUCUUCUCUGCUACAAUAGGAUUUAUUGAUAUUGGAGAUGAUUUUUUUUUAACCUCUUCAUGCAAAGUUUGUGCAUGCAUUACCUACCCCUUGCUUACAAUGUGGUGUGAGCCUGAAAAAAUUCAUCUGGUUUUCUUAGCAGGUAGAAGCGCAGAUACGGCUUGGCCACAGUCCCUGCUACAAAAGGCAACAUAAGACCCUCAAGUAAAGCAAUGCCUCUUCUGAGCCCUUCAUGUUGCAUUCCCAACAAACAACGUAGAAACUGCCACGGAUCUUUUACUUUUCCUCAGGUAUGUGAGAUAU